CCUACGGAGGCAGCAGUGAGGAAUAUUGGUCAAUGGGCGGGAGCCUGAACCAGCCAAGUCGCGUGAGGGAAGACGGUCCUAUGGAUUGUAAACCUCUUUAGGCGGGGAGCAAUGCCGGGCACGCGUGCCCGGAGGGAGAGUACCCGCAGAAUAAGCAUCGGCUAACUCCGUGCCAGCAGCCGCGGUAAUACGUAGGUGGCAAGCGUUGUUCGGAAUAACUGGGCGUAAAGGAUGCGUAGGCGGUUAAACAAGUUAUAUGUUAAAUAUAUAGGCUUAACCUGUAGAAAGCAUAUAAAACUGUUUAACUAGAGUGCAGGAGAGGUAAGUGGAAUUCCUAGUGUAGCGGUGAAAUGCGUAGAGAUUAGGAAGAACACCAGUGGCGAAGGCGACUUACUGGACUGUAACUGACGCUGAGGCAUGAGAGCAUGGGGAGCAAACAGGAUUAGAUACCCGAGUAGUC
rnacentral:rRNA from 1 species